rnacentral:tRNA from 1 species
CGCGGGGUGGAGCAGUCUGGUAGCUCGUCGGGCUCAUAACCCGAAGGUCGCAAGUUCAAAUCUUGUCCCCGCAA